AUGCCGGGCCUUUGUAGGUCUGGCAAUUGGAAUGAGAACAAUUUAAACCCCUUAUCGAGUAUCAAUUGGAGGGCAAGUCUGGUGCCAGCAGCCGCGGUAAUUCCAGCUCCAAUAGCGUAUAUUAAAGUUGUUGCAGUUAAAAAGCUCGUAGUUGGAUUUGUGGCUGUCACGGGCGGCCUAUCACUUAGUGUUAGUGCUUGCCUGUGUCGCCAUCCUUGGGUGGAGCCCGUGUGGCAUUAGGUUGUCGUGCGGGGGAUGCCCAUCGUUUACUGUGAGAAAAUUAGAGUGUUCAAAGCAGGCUUAUGCCGUUGAAUAUGUUAGCAUGGAAUAAUAAGAUAGGACCUCGGUACUAUUUUGUUGGUUUGCGCACCGAGGUAAUGAUUAAUAGGGACAGUUGGGGGUAUUCGUAUUCCAUUGUCAGAGGUGAAAUUCUUGGAUUUCUGGAAGACGAACUACUGCGAAAGCAUUUACCAAGGAUGUUUUCAUUAAUCAAGAACGAAAGUUAGGGGAUCGAAGAUGAUUAGAUACCAUCGUAGUCUUAACCAUAAACUAUGCCGACAAGGGAUUGGCGGAGUUUCGUUUUGUCUCCGUCAGCACCUUAUGAGAAAUCACAAGUCUUUGGGUUCCGGGGGGAGUAUGGUCGCAAGGCUGAAACUUAAAGAAAUUGACGGAAGGGCACCACCAGGAGUGGAGCCUGCGGCUUAAUUUGACCCAACACGGGAAAACUUACCAGGUCCAGACAAAGUGAGGAUUGACAGAUUGAGAGCUCUUUCUUGAUUCUUUGGGUGGUGGUGCAUGGCCGUUCUUAGUUGGUGGAGUGAUUUGUCUGGUUAAUACCGUUAACGAACGAGACCCCUGCCUGCUAAAUAGCCUAGCAAAUGAGUUUUCAUUCGCCGGGGCUUCUUAGAGGGACGUGCAUUCUAUUAGAUGCAGGAAGAUAGGGGCAAUAACAGGUCUGUGAUGCCCUUAGAUGUCCUGGGCCGCACGCGCGCUACACUGAUGCGUUCAACGAGUUUCUUCCUUGGCCGAGAGGCCUGGGCAAUCUUUUGAACGCGCAUCGUGAUAGGGAUUGACACUUGCAAUUAUUUGUCAUGAACGAGGAAUUCCUAGUAAACGCAGAUCAUCAAUCUGCAUUGAUUACGUCCCUGCCCUUUGUACACACCGCCCGUCGCACCUACCGAUUGAAUGGUCCGGUGAAGCCUCGGGAUUGUGGCGAGUUUCCUUUAUUGGGAGUUUGUCGCGAGAACUUGUCUAAACCUUAUCAUUUAGAGGAAGGUGAAGUC
rnacentral:rRNA from 1 species